AAUAAGUGCAGUUUUGCACUAUUCAUCUCUAAUGUUUAACCAUUCGUUUUAUUUGAAAAUUUUUUAUGAUUACUAUUUUUAUUGUUAUUAGAUGAUAAAACAUGAAUAGCACUUUAUGUGUGACUAUUUUAUUAAAAAAAUUUCAUAAUUUUUUUAAAUAAGAUGCACGGUCAUACGUUGGACACGGAUUUUCACGGCUGCACUUGUU
rfam:Oryza sativa Japonica Group DNA, chromosome 6, cultivar: Nipponbare, complete sequence.